UACCAGCACCCCGAGUGGUCGGGACGAUUAUUGGGCCUAAAGCAUCCGUAGCCGGUUUUACAAGUCCUCCGUUAAAUCCAACUGCUUAACAGAUGGGCUGCGGAGGAUACUAUAAGACUAGGAGGCAGGAGAGGCAAGCGGUACUCAGUGGGUAGGGGUAAAAUCCGUUGAUCCAUUGAAGACCACCAGUGGCGAAGGCGGCUUGCCAGAAUGCGCUCGACGGUGAGGGAUGAAAGCUGGGGGGGCAAACCGG
rnacentral:rRNA from 1 species